rnacentral:rRNA from 1 species
GACGAACGCUGGCGGCGUGCCUAACACAUGCAAGUCGAACGGAAAGGCCCUGCUUUUGUGCGGUUCUCGAUUGGCGAACGGGUGAGUAACACGUGUGUAUCCUGCCCUUGACUUUGGGAUAACUUCACGAAACUGGGGCUAAUACCGGAUAGGAGCUCUUGAUGCAUGGUGGGGGUUGGAAAGUUUCGGCGGUUGGGGAUGGACUCGCGGGUUAUCAGCUUGUUUGUGGGGUAGUGGCUUACCAAGGCUUUGAAGGGUAGCCGGCCUGGGAGGGUGAGCGGCGACAUUGGGACUGAGGGACGGCCCAGACACCUACGGGAGGCAGCAGUGGGGAAUAUUGCACAAUGGGCGGAAGCCGGAUGAAGAAACGCCGCGGGCGGGAUGACGGCCUUCGGGUUGUAAACCGCAUUCGCCUGUGACGAAGCGUGAGUGACGGUAAUGGGUAAAGAAGCACCGGCUAACUACGUG